UGGGGAAUAUUGCACAAUGGGCGCAAGCCUGAUGCAGCCAUGCCGCGUGUAUGAAGAAGGCCUUCGGGUUGUAAAGUACUUUCAGCGGGGAGGAAGGCGAUAAGGUUAAUAACCUUGUCGAUUGACGUUACCCGCAGAAGAAGCACCGGCUAACUCCGUGCCAGCAGCCGCGGUAAUACGGAGGGUGCAAGCGUUAAUCGGAAUUACUGGGCGUAAAGCGCACGCAGGCGGUCUGUCAAGUCGGAUGUGAAAUCCCCGGGCUCAACCUGGGAACUGCAUUCGAAACUGGCAGGCUAGAGUCUUGUAGAGGGGGGUAGAAUUCCAGGUGUAGCGGUGAAAUGCGUAGAGAUCUGGAGGAAUACCGGUGGCGAAGGCGGCCCCCUGGACAAAGACUGACGCUCGGGUGCGAAAGCGUGGGGAGCAAACA
rnacentral:rRNA from 1 species